AACAAAAAUAAAAAAUAAAUAAAUGGAAAAACAGCCAAUUUGGAAAAUGUAUCCAGUUUGGCUAUUAUAUCACAGAUGGUGAAAUAAAUAUAAAGUAAGGGUCGCAUAAGCAGAAAUAAUAGCAGAAAGGUUGCAUACAUUAAAGGGACACUAUAGUCACCAGAACAACUUCAGCUUAUUGUAUUUGUCCUGGUGAGUACAAUCAUUCCCUUAAGGCUUUUUGCCCUAAACCCUG